UGGGCGUUAAGUUGCAGGGUAUAGACCCGAAACCCGGUGAUCUAGCCAUGGGCAGGUUGAAGGUUGGGUAACACUAACUGGAGGACCGAACCGACUAAUGUUGAAAAAUUAGCGGAUGACCUGUGGCUGGGGGUGAAAGGCCAAUCAAACCGGGAGAUAGCUGGUUCUCCCCGAAAGCUAUUUAGGUAGCGCCUCGUGAAUUCAUCUCCGGGGGUAGAGCACUGUUUCGGCUAGGGGGCCAUCCCGGCUUACCAACCCGAUGCAAACUGCGAAUACCGGAGAAUGUUAUCACGGGAGACACACGGCGGGUGCUAACGUCCGUCGUGAAGAGGGAAACAACCCAGACCGCCAGCUAAGGUCCCAAAGUCAUGGUUAAGUGGGAAACGAUGUGGGAAGGCCCAGACAGCCAGGAUGUUGGCUUAGAAGCAGCCAUCAUUUAAAGAAAGCGUAAUAGCUCACUGGUCGAGUCGGCCUGCGCGGAAGAUGUAACGGGGCUAAACCAUGCACCGAAGCUGCGGCAGCGACGCUGAUGCGUUGUUGGGUAGGGGAGCGUUCUGUAAGCCUGCGAAGGUGGCCUGUGAGGGUUGCUGGAGGUAUCAGAAGUGCGAAUGCUGACAUAAGUAACGAUAAAGCGGGUGAAAAGCCCGCUCGCCGGAAGACCAAGGGUUCCUGUCCAACGUUAAUCGGGGCAGGGUGAGUCGACCCCUAAGGCGAGGCCGAAAGGCGUAGUCGAUGGGAAACGGGUUAAUAUUCCCGUACUUGGUGUUACUGCGAAGGGGGGACGGAGAAGGCUAUGUUGGCCGGGCGACGGUUGUCCCGGUUUAAGCGUGUAGGUGUGUGUUCCAGGUAAAUCCGGUUCACUUUAACACUGAGGCGUGAUGACGAGGCACUACGGUGCUGAAGCAACAAAUGCCCUGCUUCCAGGAAAAGCCUCUAAGCAUCAGGUAACAUCAAAUCGUACCCCAAACCGACACAGGUGGUCAGGUAGAGAAUACCAAGGCGCUUGAGAGAACUCGGGUGAAGGAACUAGGCAAAAUGGUGCCGUAACUUCGGGAGAAGGCACGCUGACACGUAGGUGAAGUGAUUUACUCAUGGAGCUGAAGUCAGUCGAAGAUACCAGCUGGCUGCAACUGUUUAUUAAAAACACAGCACUGUGCAAACACGAAAGUGGACGUAUACGGUGUGACGCCUGCCCGGUGCCGGAAGGUUAAUUGAUGGGGUCAGCGCAAGCGAAGCUCCUGAUCGAAGCCCCGGUAAACGGCGGCCGUAACUAUAACGGUCCUAAGGUAGCGAAAUUCCUUGUCGGGUAAGUUCCGACCUGCACGAAUGGCGUAAUGAUGGCCAGGCUGUCUCCACCCGAGACUCAGUGAAAUUGAACUCGCUGUGAAGAUGCAGUGUACCCGCGGCAAGACGGAAAGACCCCGUGAACCUUUACUAUAGCUUGACACUGAACAUUGAGCCUUGAUGUGUAGGAUAGGUGGGAGGCUUUGAAGUGUGGACGCCAGUCUGCAUGGAGCCGGCCUUGAAAUACCACCCUUUAAUGUUUGAUGUUCUAACGUGGACCCGUGAUCCGGGUUGCGGACAGUGUCUGGUGGGUAGUUUGACUGGGGCGGUCUCCUCCUAAAGAGUAACGGAGGAGCACGAAGGUUGGCUAAUCCUGGUCGGACAUCAGGAGGUUAGUGCAAUGGCAUAAGCCAGCUUGACUGCGAGCGUGACGGCGCGAGCAGGUGCGAAAGCAGGUCAUAGUGAUCCGGUGGUUCUGAAUGGAAGGGCCAUCGCUCAACGGAUAAAAGGUACUCCGGGGAUAACAGGCUGAUACCGCCCAAGAGUUCAUAUCGACGGCGGUGUUUGGCACCUCGAUGUCGGCUCAUCACAUCCUGGGGCUGAAGUAGGUCCCAAGGGUAUGGCUGUUCGCCAUUUAAAGUGGUACGCGAGCUGGGUUUAGAACGUCGUGAGACAGUUCGGUCCCUAUCUGCCGUGGGCGCUGGAGAACUGAGGGGGGCUGCUCCUAGUACGAGAGGACCGGAGUGGACGCAUCACUGGUGUUCGGGUUGUCAUGCCAAUGGCACUGCCCGGUAGCUAAAUGCGGAAGAGAUAAGUGCUGAAAGCAUCUAAGCACGAAACUUGCCCCGAGAUGAGUUCUCCCUGAGACUUAGAGUCUCCUGAAGGAACGUUGAAGACGACGACGUUGAUAGGCCGGGUGUGUAAGCGCAGCGAUGCGUUGAGCUAACCGGUACUAAUGAACCGUGAGGCUUAACCUU
rnacentral:rRNA from 1 species